CUGUGCUGUCUCUGCUCUGCUUCCCUGCCCUUGCGCGCUACUUAAUGAGACUGGGGCCGGAAUAUGACGUCAUAUCGUGCUGUGGAGCAGAGCAGAGACAGCACAGCU